rnacentral:lncRNA from 1 species
UUUAAGUUAGAAUUGUGUUGUUUUUAAAUUAAAUCACUAUAGUUGAUUUCUUUGUACUUAAGUUAGAAUUGUGAUGUUUUUUAAAUUAAAUCACUAUAUUUGGUUUCUCUGUACUUAAGUUAAAAGUGUAUUGUUUUUAAAAGUUGAAAUUGCAUUGGCACGCCUCAUGUUAAAUUUCUGAUCAUAGUUAGAUUUUGAUUAAAUGAUAACAUGCUAGAAACAUU